UGGACAGUGGCUUAAUUUGACUCAACGCGGGAAAUCUUACCGGGUCCGGACACACUGAGGAUUGACAGGUAUUAUAUAAUUGCUCUUCGGAGCUUUUAUUGUUAAAUAUGCUAGUCCUUUCAUGAUUAUGUGAUAGGUGGUGCAUGGCCGUUCUUAGUUCGUGGAGUGAUCUGUCUGCUUAAUUGCGUUUCACUAUAAGGAUCUAUAUUCUUUACAGUGUGCAGUGCAUUGACCCCUUCUUCGGAAGCGUGUGUCUUUACGCUCACACUUCAUUAGGUCCUGAAAGCAACGAACGUGACCGCAACCUCUUGUUGCCUCUGUGCUCCUACACGCUCAAUGCGCUAAACACUGGUUUUCU
rnacentral:rRNA from 1 species